rnacentral:rRNA from 1 species
GAUGAACGCUAGCGAUAGGCUUAACACAUGCAAGUCGAGGGGCAGCACAAGGUAGCUUGCUCUCUGGGUGGCGACCGGCGCACGGGUGCGUAACGCGUAUGCAACUUGCCCUAUACAGGAGGAUAACCCGUCGAAAGACGGACUAAUACUGCGUAUGCUCACAACUUGGCAUCAAGUGGUGAGGAAAGAAAUUCGGUAUAGGAUAGGCAUGCGUCCCAUUAGCUUGUUGGUGAGGUAACGGCUCACCAAGGCAACGAUGGGUAGGGGAACUGAGAGGUUUAUCCCCCACACUGGUACUGAGGCACGGACCAGAAUCCUACGGGAGGCAGCAGUGAGGAAUAUUGGUCAAUGGAGGCGAGCCUGAACCAGCCAAGUCGCGUGAAGGAGGACUGUCUUAUGGAUUGUAAACUUCUUUUAUACGGGAAUAACAAGAGUCACGUGUGACUCCCUGCAUGUACCGUAUGAAUAAGCAUCGGCUAACUCCGUG